CUACAUCACGUUGAAACACCAGUUCCCGUACGACCACCGAAGUUAAGCAACGUCGAGCUUGGUUAGUAUCUGGAUGAAUGACUGCCUGGAAAUAUCAGGUGUUGUAG